AGAAAUGCCUACAGCGGUCAGUGUGUAGAAAUCAGCAUACAUUGAACAGGAAGCGAUGAGGUGGGGGCUGUAGCAGUGGCCUCUGAAAGGACUGAGUUGAGAUCCAGGAUUGGCCUCUCAGUGACUUGUUUCCUUUUCCAUGACUGCUUCCAGAUUCCUGGGAUGUGCUGCCCAGAUUCCUCCUCGGGCUGGAAGGAUUUCUUCUCUCAGCUGCUGGAAGUGUUAUCCACCAGAAGAGAAGUUUCUACAUCAUUGGAUGUGAAUGAGGAACGUGCAUGGAGCCUUUGAUGAGGAAAGACGCUUGCUGAGAUCACAGCUGACCUGGGAAGGAGAAGGCGAGAAAUAAUCACAAGAUUUGACCUACUGGCUCACACUACACCUGCCCAGCCACAUCGGAAGACAGCCUUCCCCUGGAUUUCCCAAUUUGUGAGCCAAUAUGUUUACUCUUAGGCUAGUUGACUUCAAGUUCCCCAUCUGUAAAAUGGCAUUAAUGAUACUGCAGCCUACCUUAUGGGGAUGUUUUAGAGAAUAAACCAUCAAUGCAUUCAGCACAUAGAAA